UACGAAGGUGACUAGCGUUGUUCGGAAUCAUUGGGCGUAAAGCGCACGUAGGCGGGUUUGUAAGUCGAUUGUGAAAACCCUGGGCUCAACCCGGGAACUGCAGUCGAAACUACAAGUCUUGAAUGCUCGAGAGGAUGGUGGAAUUCCAGGAGUAGAAGUGAAAUUCGUAGAUAUCUGGAGGAACACCGGAGGCGAAAGCGGCCAUCUGGCGAGACAUUGACGCUAAGGUGCGAAAGCGUGGGGAUCAAACAGG
rnacentral:rRNA from 1 species